rnacentral:rRNA from 1 species
GACGAACGCCGGCGGCGUGCUUAACACAUGCAAGUCGAACGGAAAGGCCCUGCUUUUGUGGGGUGCUCGAGUGGCGAACGGGUGAGUAACACGUGAGUAACCUGCCCUUGACUUUGGGAUAACUUCAGGAAACUGGGGCUAAUACCGGAUAGGAGCUCCUGCUGCAUGGUGGGGGUUGGAAAGUUUCGGCGGUUGGGGCUGGACUCGCGGCUUAUCAGCUUGUUGGUGGGGUAGUGGCUUACCCAGGCUUUGACGGGUAGCCGGCCUGUGAGGGUGACCGGCCACAUUGGGACUGAGAUACGGCCCAGACUCCAACGGGAGGCAGAAGUGGGGAAUAUUGCACAAUGAGCGGAAGCCUGAUGCAGCAACGCCGCGUGCGGGAUGACGGCCUUCGGGUUGUGAACCGCUUUCGCCUGUGACGAAGCGUGAGUGACGGUAAUGGGUAAAGAAGCACCGGCUAACUACGUG